AGAGUGCACAUUCCAUAUCUGGGAAUUUUAUUUUGCUUUGUUGUAUUGGAUUGCCUUUGAGAGGACAUUAAAUUUUGCAUUAAAGUGAUUUGAAUUCUUUGACCCUCACUCCACUCUGUGAAGAGGAGACAAACCCCACAGUCCGGAAGGGCAUACUAUUGCUGGCCUACCUAAUGUACAUUGCUCUUGGGGCGAUGAUAUUUCAAGCCUUGGAGAAAGACUUUGAGGUAGAGCGGCGAGAAUUGGCAGUUGAUACGAAAUGUGAUUUUCUGAAAAAUCGUUCUAAUAUGACUCAAGAAGACGUUGAAGUCUUUGUGCAGAUGAUGACUUCUCUCAUCUUGUCAGGAAUACCUCCCCUAGGAAAUAAGACUAACGCUCUCCUUUGGACUUUUGGAAGCUCCUUUACAACUUCUCUAACUAUCUUAUCCACAAUAGGUUAUGGGACAGUUUUUCCCAGAACUCCUGGUGGGCAGAUGUUUUGUGUUGUCUUUGCUGCGAUUGGAAUCCCUCUAACUAUCGUGUUCUUUAAAAACAUCGGUAAAUUAGUUUCUCUGCCAUUUGAAAAACUUGGAAACUGCCUUAAACAUAAGGGAAUAAGUGAGAAAAAUAGUUCUCUUUCGAAGAAUCUGUUUUUCAUUAUGACUGGAGCACUUUUGUUUCUGGCAUUACCACCAUUUGUUUUCAUGUCAUUAGAGAACUGGACUUAUAUUGAAGGAGUUUAUUAUUCAUUCACCACCAUAAGUGCUAUUGGUUUUGGAGACUAUACAAUAGUUUCAAACCCAAUGAAAGAGAGUCAGAACAUCGCUUACUCAAUCUUAUUAUUAAUUUGGAAUCUCCAUGGUCUUGCCUGGAUUGCUCUUGUAUUUCAUUUGAUAACCAACGUUUUUCAAGAAAUGGAAUCAAAGCUAAAUAAGAACAUAUCUGAAAUAGAAGUUGAAGCAGAAAGCAUGAAGUCAGGCGCUGGAGAUCCACACGGUCGGUAGGUUUCCUCGAUCCAGACAGCAGAGGGUUUCCACAGAGCCCUUUCAAAGGUGUCAGAACAGGAAGGAAAAACAGAAAAACACCCAGAUGUCUCUCCAUAAACUUCUUAUGAAUAUGAUGACAUCAGAGAAGAACAUCUAUGCUGGCAUCCAUUGUCGAUGACAAUUGAAAAACCUAGUGUGUCAUCUCCAGUCGCUCAUGCCAGAUGGUCAAUGUUCCUUAGCCCCACGUUUAUAGCCUGCUAGUGGCUAUAUAACUGCUUAAAGUUUGUGCUUAUUUAACAUGGUCUUUGGGACAUGAGUCCACCGUCUUCCAAUUUGCUGGCUAAUAGAAUAAAUCCCUUUCUCAACCACUGAUGCAUUUUGCAAUUGAUCGGCUUCAGGAUUGCAGUGAGCAGAACGAGCUCCUGCUUGGUUACAUUUCCAGGGGUAAAACAGGAAGAACCAAGAUUAGCCCUUUGGACAGGAAAUGCUUCCCAAAGACUUCAGGGUUUAUCUGCAGAAGAGCCACCCCAGGGAGGAAAGGGAGCCAUUUAAACCACUACUGAGACAGGGCCCUCGACAGUUUGAUCAGAACAUGGGCAGAAAAGAUGUUAUUUUGUACUUUCAAGUGGCAAAAAGACAUACA